CAAGUUUUCUGGUUAUCACUUUAAGCUAUAUAUCCUAAGCAAACUAAUAUAAUGAUUUUCAAAAACUAAUUUAUCCAUAAUGUGGUUAUACUUGGUUCUCAUAGGAGAAUCUAUGGCAGAUUCUGACAUUAAUUGUGUGGACAAUAAUGUUUCUUUGUUGAUAGUAUGUAUUGAUUGACAGCUUUUAGGUUUAAAUAUUACUGGUUUGAAUUUGUUAAAUGUGAUUACUUGGAUUUUGAAUCUGGUUUCCUGUGUUUACAUCUAAAUAUGUGAUAUCUAAAUGUUGAUUAUAUCAGGUUGAAAGCCUUUUACCAAUUAGGGAAUGCGGAUGGAUACUGGAACUAAAUUCUAGGUGGGAAAAAGCACCAGAUUGAAAGCAUUGUAUCUUGGAACAUUUGAUGUCUCCACCUGUCUUUAUGUCAGUGGUCAACCAAGAGAUACAUCCAGACAACUAUAGCCCCAUAGUGCUGAAAAUGCACUGGAUACUUCCUCAUGCAUGUAAGUUCCAGAACUUCAAUUUUAUUGAGUAAGAUACUUGCCUGAGUUUUCGGUAUUGACAGCACAAUAGAUAUUUCUUUCUCGCCGGUCUCCAUCUGUUGGAGUAUAUCGACCUCAUUAAAUAUUGUAAAUUCAGUCAGAUCCUUUGAUUCAUCUUCUUUGAUAUCACUAGUAUCUGCAAGAUUAUAGAUGUGGUUGUUGUACUGAUCUGUAUCAACAAUAUUAUCGCACUCAAACACUCAAUCAACUUCUCCUGGAUCCAAUAGCAAGUUGAGAUCCAAUGGCUGUAGCUUAAGUAGAGAAGGAUUGGUAGAACUAAAAAAUUGUGAACUUUAAAACCAAAUCAAGAGGAUUGUAAAUUUUAGUUCUAUCAAUCCUGCCCUACUUAAGUUACAACCAUUAGACCUCCACCUGCUAUGGAUUCAAGAGAAGUCGAUCGCUUGCUUGAGUGCGAUAACAUUAUUGAUACAGAUUAGAACAACAACCACAUCUAUGAUCUUGCAGAUAUUGGUGAAAUAAAAAAAGAUGAAUUAAAGGAUCUGACUAAACUUACAGUAUUUAAUGAGGUUGAUAUACUCCAGCAGAUGGAGACCGACAUUGAAAAAAUAUCUAACAGGUGCGCAGAGCCAGAGCCUGGCAUGUUCGCCUGGUCGUGCUGUCAAUAUCAAAAUCCCAGGCGAGCAUCUUACUCCUCAAUCGUAGAGAGAAAGAAUAAGAGUGUAAAGUGGUUUCCUGCUCCAGACUGCAAGCUGUGGUAGGGAGUAAUGGAUUCAUGAUGUGUCAUGUGCACGUUACCCCAAAUUUUGCUAGCAUUGUAGCCACAAGGCUCACUGUCCUGUAGACUGUGACAGUAUGAAGCAAUGGAUGUUGAAGAACAAGUUAGACAGAGGUAACAUGGAGUGGUAUUACUGAAUAUAUAUGCAAGCUGAUCUUUUAAGAUUGUAUAAAAAUAUCUCCGCACAAUUUGGAAAAUAUCUGAGGAAUUUUUGUUAAUGAAAGAGUUCGUUGUACAGCAAAGCGAGCUUGUUUUUCUUGCACUUUGCGAGAGAAUACAAUGUGUUGGACCUUCUGUUCCCUAAUAAGUUGUAAAGAAAUCUCUGUGAAGCUCUUUUUUCUCAACCAAGAGGCUUUGCCUCUUGCAUCUUUUCCUCCAGAACGUUGAAAAGAUUUUCUUUUCUCAUAGACGCUAUGUUCUUAGAUGGUUCACAUCCAUUUAUCUUUCCAAUCUUAAAGAGCGUCUGGGAGGUGUCAUUUUCACUGAUGGUGAUUUGUUAGGGAAUUAUUCAUCAUGCCCAAUGUUGAAAUUUGUGCAAUUAUGGACUGCAAUAUCUUUUCUAAAGGUUCUAAAUGUCUCUGCUCUCAGACUCAAAUAUCUUUAGAUAGACUAUUUUCGUGGGCUCAAAAACAUUGAGAUCAAUCUUCAUACUUGAAGUCUUAUAUCACUUAUACUGGGAGGAAAUCUUGCACAAAACUAUCAUAUUCGGGACGGUCCUAUUCAUUAUGUAGAUAUUCAAGUUGGAGAAGUUUACAGAAACCAAAUGAGUAUAGAUGUUUCUAGUUAGUCUGCGUUUAAGUUGCUGACUGAAAUCUGUAAUGUUACCGUACUAGCUGUGGAUAAUUUGUUUCGGGAGGUAUAUGCUUUGUCCAUUUCUUCUACUUAUUGAGUUUUCAUAUUUUUGGCUAAUUACUUGAUUUCUUUAAUGCAUCCUCUUACCGUUCCUUUUAAAACAUUCAAUUAACCCAUGAAAUUCCUUUCCUUUUAAUACACAGAAGAUUACGAUCCUCCUCGAUAGAAUGUCAAAUGUAUAUAAUGCCUACUUUCUAAUGAUUGCACAAGAAGAGACUUUAUUCUUGUCCACUUAGGAAUGGAAUUCAGAAAACCAUGUGACUGUUGGGAUUCCAAAUUUUCUGGAAUAUGUUUACAUUAACAUGUCUUUUGGACAUGAAAUUGGCCAUCUCUAUCUUUCAGAAUAGUACUUAAGCGAUGAUGGAAAGAAGUAUAAGAUUAUUGAGAAGUUAUUAGUACUUCCAAGAACUUCAACAAAAGCAGAAGUACUUCUGUUGUAGUUUAAAUUUUAGGUUCUCAAAAGAGGAAAAAAUCAAAUUGCUGAAUGGUUCAUGUGUGGACAACAAAGAGAAUUAGUGUUUGACAUAGACGAAACAAAAGUUUAAGUCUUUUGUCCUGUAUCUCGGGACACUUACGUUAAUGAGGCUAUCGCGUCCCUUUCGAGAAGACCAAGGAUAAAAGGGGCCUAUCUUGAUAGGAUUAGAUAGUUUAACCUCUUGAUGAAACUAGUGCUUACUUUGUCAAAUAAAUGUACAUUUUAUUCAAUCUUUUUUUAUACUAAGGGCCAAAUUUUAUGGCCCCAAUGCUGUGAUAUAGUUGUCUAUAUGUAUUAUAUGUACAGAUAGCAUGUAGAAAGAAACUCAGAAGUCAGGAAAUUAGAAAACUUAUCAUGAGAUUAGAGUAUGGAGAAGGAGAUGUAGCAGCUUGUUUUUCUUCUUUGUCAUAAUCUCCUUUUGAAUGUAAUGUAAUGGAAUUGCAAAAGUUUUGGAAUUUAAAGGAUUCCUCUUUGAAGCA